rnacentral:rRNA from 1 species
AUUGAACGCUGGCGGCAGGCUUAACACAUGCAAGUCGAGCGGGGUGAUGGUGCUUGCACUAUCACUUAGCGGCGGACGGGUGAGUAAUGCUUAGGAAUCUGCCUAUUAGUGGGGGACAACAUCUCGAAAGGGAUGCUAAUACCGCAUACGUCCUACGGAGAAAGCAGGGGAUCACUUGUGACCUUGCGCUAAUAGAUGAGCCUAAGUCGGAUUAGCUAGUUGGUGGGGUAAAGGCCUACCAAGGCGACGAUCUGUAGCGGGUCUAAGAGGAUGAUCCGCCACACUGGGACUGAGACACGGCCCAGACUCCUACGGGAGGCAGCAGUGGGGAAUAUUGGACAAUGGGGGGAACCCUGAUCCAGCCAUGCCGCGUGUGUGAAGAAGGCCUUAUGGUUGUAAAGCACUUUAAGCGAGGAGGAGGCUCUUUUGGUUAAUACCCAAGAUGAGUGGACGUUACUCGCAGAAUAAGCACCGGCUAACUCUGUGCCAGCAGCCGCGGUAA